rnacentral:rRNA from 1 species
UACAACGAAACUGCGAAUGGCUCGGUAAAACAGCAAUAAUUUCUUCGAGGAUAAUACUACCGGAUAACCGUAGUAAAGCUAGAGCUAAUACGUUCCAUUGCAGCGCGAGUAAUCCGCUCGUGGUACUAAGUAUUAGGUACAACCCAGAUUUUUCUGGUGAUUCAUACUUAUCUUCUGAUCGAACUUCGUGUUCGACGCCUCGAUUAAAUUUCUGACCUAUCAACUAUGAUGGUAAGGUAGGGUCUUACCAUGGUUGUGACGGGUAACGGACCGUGGGUGCGGGAUUCCGGAGAGGGAGCCUGAGAAACGGCUACCACAUCCAAGGAAGGCAGCAGGCGCGCAACUUACCCAAUCCGAACUUCGGGAGGUAGUGACAAAAAAUAUCAAUAGGGGGACCAAUGGUCUUCCUAAUUGGAAUGAAAACAAUGUAAACACCUUAUUGAGGAACCAGCAGAGGGCAAGUCUGGUGCCAGCAGCCGCGGUAAUUCCAGCUCUGUAAGCGUAUACCAAAGUUGUUGCAGUUAAAACGCUCGUAGUCGGAUUUUGGCGUGGUGCUUCUGAGACCCCUGCUUGGGUGUUGACGGUAGUCCCGCCUUUGUGGAUGAGGGCGUGGUGGUGCUUUGUUGCAUUGCUGCGUUUUCGCCACUGUUUACUGUGAAAAAAUUAGAGUGUUCAAAGCGAGCGAUUGCCAUGAAUAUAUUAGCAUGGAAUAAUAGAAUAGGACCUGAUCCUGUUUUGUUGGUUUGUCAGUAUUAGGUAAUGAUUAAGAGGGACGGUCGGGGGCAUUUGUAUUCCAGGGUUAGAGGUGAAAUUCUUGGAUCCUUGGAAGACAAACAGCUGCGAAAGCGUCUGCCAAGGACGUUUUCAUUGAUCAAGAACGAAAGUAAGGGGAUCGAAGACGAUCAGAUACCGUCGUAGUCUUUACCAUAAACUAUGUGAAUUGGGGAUCAGCCGAGGCCCUUUUUUGGUUCGGUUGGCACCCUCCGGGAAACCAAAAUUUUUGCAUUCUGGGGGGAGUAUGGUCGCAAGUCUGAAACUUAAAGGAAUUGACGGAAGGGCAUCACCGGGUGUGGAGCCUGCGGCUUAAUUUGACUCAACACGGGAAAACUUACCAGGUCCAGACAUAAUAAGGAUUGACAGAUUGAGAGCUCUUUCUUGAUUCUAUGGUUGGUG